rnacentral:rRNA from 1 species
AGUGAACGCUGGCGGUAGGCCUAACACAUGCAAGUCGAACGGCAGCACAGUAAGAGCUUGCUCUUACGGGUGGCGAGUGGCGGACGGGUGAGGAAUACAUCGGAAUCUACUUUUUCGUGGGGGAUAACGUAGGGAAACUUGCGCUAAUACCGCAUACGACCUACGGGUGAAAGCAGGGGAUCUUCGGACCUUGCGCGAUUGAAUGAGCCGAUGUCGGAUUAGCUAGUUGGCGGGGUAAAGGCCCACCAAGGCGACGAUCCGUAGCUGGUCUGAGAGGAUGAUCAGCCACACUGGAACUGAGACACGGUCCAGACUCCUACGGGAGGCAGCAGUGGGGAAUAUUGGACAAUGGGCGCAAGCCUGAUCCAGCCAUACCGCGUGGGUGAAGAAGGCCUUCGGGUUGUAAAGCCCUUUUGUUGGGAAAGAAAAGCAGCAGGUUAAUACCACGCUGUUCUGACGGUACCCAAAGAAUAAGCACCGGCUAACUUCGUG